rnacentral:rRNA from 1 species
CCCGGCGGCACUAGCGCGGUGGUCCCACCUGACCCCAUGCCGAACUCAGAAGUGAAACGCCGUAGCGCCGAUGGUAGUGUGGGGUCUCCCCAUGCGAGAGUAGGGAACUGCCGGCA